UCCAAUAAAUCCCAUACAUAUAAAUGUGUGUGUGUGUGUGUGUGUGUGUGUGUGUGGUAUGUGCAGAUUCAUUCAGUAAGUUCUGUUACGAUGAGAACCCUGACUAAUACAAUAGGCCUUAUGCACACUCUAUGCUCACAAAGGGGUGAGUUUGAGUAACCCGAAGGACAAUGCCUCAUUCUUAUACACCUAGUGUCUAAUAUCAAGCACCAAACCUCUGUUACUACCCAGGGCGUUUGGCAAGCCCAUUACACUUCCUGACCUUAGUUUGCCUAUCUAUAGAAUAGUGGUGAUGAAAUAUGUUCCACCCACAGAGCUGUGCCAGGGAUCUUGAAGAGACUAUGGACAGCAAAGCCUUCAAUUUCCAGCAGAGAGCUGAGCAGAGUUAGGGCCCAGUGUCCUGCCUGCCUUCUCCAGCAGUUUGAUGCAUCGCAGAGGGAUAAUACUGAACCAAGAGUGGAUAGUGACACUUGUUAAAACUCUUGUGCACCAGACAUCCAUCAGUUAUUACCCAGACCCAAGCACCUGGACAGCCUCAUCUAGGGGAGAUACUCUUGUAGACAAGUGGAUGGUGUUACUGAAGUUUGAUGGCUUUUUUUUUCAAUAACAGAAAGAUGCUACAGUUUUCAGUAACAGAAAGAUGCUGUUUGACAUUUUCAGUAGUAUAUUAUAUCCCAGUUAUUUCCCCACAGGUAGGCAUACAUGGGUGUUGUAUUUCAAAAUGAAGCCAAGGUUUCAACAGGUUUUUGUUUUUUGGUUUUUUUUUUUUUUGGCUAGGGGUGCUGGGAAUUGAACACAACCUGUUUCCCACAACAGUUAAAUAACUACACACUACAUGCCCAGCAAUGUGUGUGUAUGUAUGUAUGUAUACACACAUAUAGAUAUCUAAAGACAGACAGACAGACAGGAUAUUGUUCAUUUGCCCAGGCUGGUUUUGAACUUGAUCUGUUGUUCAUGGCAACUGCCUGCCUCAGCCUCCUGGGAAACUAGGGUAAGAAGCCUGGAUUGCUCACCAUUUUAAUGUUGGUCACUCCCUCUUAUCGGAGUUUGUUUUGAUUUUGUAUGAGUCAUUAUCUGCCCUGUACUGUAAUUAUUUACGGAACUAAAGUCUCAUUGCCCUAAGCACCAUGUGACUUGUUAGAGGGCAGCACCUACGUCUGGUUUAUCUUCCGAGCCUUCUGUGUUUCAUGGUAUUCAUUAUGAUAGGAGAUCCUCAAUAAACACCCAUCAGUGGAGGUCUGAGUUAUUGCUUUUCUGAGCUCUAUCUGUGAUGAAAGAUUUUGACAUUCCUUGAUAAGCCACAACAUCUCCUUGUUCCAAAGAAAAGUAUAUGCUAAUGUUCAAAUCUCCCUGAGUCUUGAAGAUGCUGGAGUAAUGAAAAUUCACACCGACUUGAGUGGCAAUACUUAAAAUAAUGUUGUCCAAGGGAGAGAGGCCCAGGCUCCAAAGAGCAAAGGACAUUAUCUCCUGACAGCCUGAAAGGGGGUUUGGAAAACAGUCUGAAGGAAAUGAGAUAAAGCAGCUUAACCUUUGAUAUUCUGUGUAAACAGAGGCCCAUUCUGUGAGAUGUGGCUCUGCUCUGGACCUGCAAGGGUAGCAGGAAUGCUAUAAGGUGACUCUGUAAAGACCUCAGGCAGAAAACUGCUCAGCUAUACAGAGGGGCUGAAUUUCAUGAUGUCCUUAGAUUUCCCAGAGCCAACUGCAGGCAAAUAAAUCAUUCUAGGUAAGUUCUCCUACUUUUGAAAAUGCCAACAGUAAGUUGGUCGUGAAUGUAUCGUAAUUUUAAAGUGGAAGAUUAAUGGCUUUGCAGAGUUCCUAAAAGAUGUAUGUCAAAUAACUGAAUGUAUGAUAAUAGAACCAUGUAGCUGGGUGGUUCAGAGUUUUAUCGAGGUAUUUUUUAAUGUAACCAACAACAGGGUCCCCUGAAAGUAUUUUCUAAUUUUGGCAGUCAUGUCUUCAUACUGUUUGUGUGACGCUUUGGCUUGCCAACACAUUUCAUUUUGCUUCAGAUACAACCCUAUCACCUGUUACGCAGCCAUCUCAUGAGAACAGAGCCUUGACCCGUCUUGAUGAGAUAUUGAAUCACUGUUAUCCAAGAACUGUCAAGAGCAUCAAAGCCCACUAGAUGGAAGGAGCCCCCCUCUCCCCCUGCAGGGAUGCGAGCACACCACUUCCCCUCAGCACAGCUGAAGCCUAUCGGCCCUCCACGGUGGCUCCACCAAGUCUUCAGCCUGCGGUUUUGAUGCAGACAAUGAGGGCCUGUGCUCAGCAGAGGAAGUUCACUUGUAAAUCAUCACCAGCAGAGGGGUCUGCUGGAAGGAAGCUGCCCAUUGGGUGUUCUGUGUUCCUGGGAAUCACAUAAUUGAGCAAUCAUGAGCUAGUGUUGAAGAUCUGUGAGUCACAGCUUAGGAAGAAGGCACCUGAAAGCAGAGGAUGGCUUUGUGGUUAUUGUUUUUAUGUCUGUUAGCUUCGCUGGUAAGGAAAUAUACUGAAAGCCCUGUGUACCCAAAGAUUGCUGUUAUUUUAUUCAGCGUUUGUGAUAUUGUCAUGUGACUACAAAGAUAUAUCUUGGAAGCUCCUUUCUGUAAAGGGGUUUCUAGCCUUAAAGACGUUAUUGUCUUAUAGAGGCGAUUUUAUGGACAGAAAAAGGAAUGAAGCUGGGAAACUGAUCAAAUAUUUCUGCGUUUUGUGUAAGCUGAAUACUCUAAGGGAAUGCUUCAAACUCUUCUCUGCAAAGUGCUAGAUCAUAAACAGGUCAGGUUUCCCUGGCCAAACUCUGUCUUUACUACUUCUAAGUUUCAUCUGGCAUACAAGCCUCCUUAGACAACAGUAUGCAAAUAAGUGGUUGUGGCAGAGUGCCAAUAAUACACUUCCUUUGUGGAAACAGGUGGUGGACUGUAUUUGGCGUGCAAGCCCAUGGUUUGUCAAUUUCUAAACCAUGAACUAAAGGGGGUGGGAGAAAAACCCUUCAUUUGUCACCGGAGUUUCUUUAAAUAAAAAUGAACUACUAGUCUGUCAAUAGAUGCAGUUACACACUUUUGGCUGUAAUCAAUGGGAAACUGCCAGUCAAAUACUGAGGACAUAUCAACAAAUAAAACUGUCUAUAUAAUUUAUAAAUGCUCAUAUUAUGCAAAUGUCAAAGGUAUUAGCCAUGCUUUAUCAUUUUUAUUUUUAAUUUAAUAUUUAAGUGAAUUUAGUGUUUAUUUUUAAUUGUUGAUUAUGGAUUAUGUUCAUUAUGUAAUAUAUUACAUAACUGUCUCACACACACACAUAUCUUGAAAAUAAUUUCAUUAAUUUGUGGCUAACUUUUGAUUUUAAAUUAAAUUUAUUUUUAGCUAUUUCUUUUCUGAAUUUGCCUUUUUCCUGAUGGGUUUCCUUUGUGGAUUUAAUGCCACGGGUAAGAAGUCACCUCUUGUUUUUCGUAAGCUGGUGUUUUCUUCUAGUGUGUUUUAUGGUUAUGUGUUGGCUUGCUUUUCAAAUGAAGAGGGAAAUCAGUAACGAUGAUGAAAGGGAAACCUGAGUAAUAGGACAUCCAAAGAACAACAGCUUCUGAGGAAAAAGAGAGAGGAACCUAAGAACACAGAUGGCAGGAGGGAGCUUCCUUCCUCUGGAAGGAAAGAGAGAUAAAACCCAACCCACCUGAAGAUGAGCCGACAAUCCUGAAAGUUGCUGCACUGCGACUGACCUCGGCGUCAGUGAGACUCGGCAUCAGUGAGACUCGGCUGUGCACCCGGUAGGAAGGGAGCAGCCAGGGAUGGGGGAGGGGUCCUGGAAGAAACACAGCGGUUUGUCACACCGUGGUCUGUGCCACACGUGGCAUGAAGAUGCUCGGUUACUACAUUCGGGUACAGGCAUUUAUGAAGACGCAGAGUCGCCUUCUAAAGAAUUUAGAUGCUGAUGAUUCCUCUCGAGCAUGUCAGAUCAAAAAAAUCAAUUGGAAUUUCUGAAGGCUUUUUUUUCUUAUGCAGCACAUACAAAUACAUUAUUAUACAAUGAACUAUUACCCGCCCCCCACCCAUAUAUCUGUAUCCUUAGUAGAAGUAUGCUUGUGACCCUGCAAUCAAAAUUCCAUCACAGAUGGGAAAUAAAAUGAAUUCAAGAAAUUUGUCGACAAUGUGGUCUUCUGGUCUACUGUCCUAUCAAAUGCAUGCUAACUUACAAUAAAGCGCAGCUAAACUUUCAGAGAA